rnacentral:rRNA from 1 species
UAUAAAUGUAAUAAAUUUAACUUAAUUAGUAUUAGUUAAGUUCUUGAAAAUUAAAGAUUUUGGCGGUAUUUUAGUCUUUUCAGAGGAACCUGUCCUAUAAUUGAUAAUCCACGAUUAAUUAAACUUAUUUUAUUAGUUUGUAUAUCGUUGUUUAUAAAUAUUUUAAAAGAAUAAUAAUAUUUGAGAUUUUCAAUUAAAAAUUAAUUCAAAUCAAGGUGCAGUUUAUAAAUAAGAAGAGAUGGGUUACAAUAAAAAAAUUUAUAUGGAAUUUAAAAUGAAAUUUUUAUUUGAAAGUGGAUUUGAAAGUAAUUAAUUAUAUUUAUUUUUAAUGAUUUAAGCUCUAAAAUAUGU